UGGGUGAGAGUGGCGAACGGGUGAGUAAUGCGUGACCGACCUGCCCCAUACACCGGAAUAGCUCCUGGAAACGGGUGGUAAUGCCGGAUGCUCCAGUUGACCGCAUGGUCCUCUGGGAAAGCUUUUGCGGUAUGGGAUGGGGUCGCGUCCUAUCAGCUUGAUGGCGGGGUAACGGCCCACCAUGGCUUCGACGGGUAGCCGGCCUGAGAGGGCGACCGGCCACAUUGGGACUGAGAUACGGCCCAGACUCC
rnacentral:rRNA from 1 species